CACAAAAUGUUUGUUCUCCACCACAGCAACCUAACUAAAUACACCAUAUUUAUUGUAUUUUUAUGAUUGAUGAUAAAAAUGUGCAAAUAUUUAUUGUUUUUAUCAUCAAUCAUAAAAAUACAAAAAAAAUAUAGUGUAUUUAGUUAGGUUGCUGUGGUGGCGAACAAACAUUUCGUG
rnacentral:miRNA from 1 species